rnacentral:lncRNA from 1 species
GAAAAACAAAUAUGUACACAGAGAUGAUGAAGCCAUAACACGAAUGUGUUACAUCCUUAGAGCAUCUUGGCUCAUUCCCGUAUUUGUUCAUAAACAUUUCACAAGCACAUCCUUUGUGCCAGGAACUUGCCAUAUUGUUUUGUAACCAAUGACACAUCUGUCUCCCCUGUUGGACUGUGAGUUCUUGCAGUCUAGUAAAGAGGGCAGGUAAUUCGAUAAAGGGUUAAAAGCCACUGUAAAUGUAGGAUUAGAGGAAUGUAGGCAGACGGUGAUGGGGACGUGGACAUGGGGCUGAUGGAGCACCCAACUGCCCAGCUGUGGGCUGACAGGAUAGUGUGGGUGGUUGAGGGUUGAGCUGGCUUUUGAAGUGUACAGAGAAUUCGCCAGCCAGAUAAGAGCGGAACGCAUCUGAGAGUGAAAAGAUUAUGCAAAGGCUCAGGCGUAUAAAAGAACCAUGUCACAUUCAGGAACUCUGAGGAGUGAGGAGUAGCAAGAGAGCAGUGGGUACUUGGAGCAAAUACGAUUGGAGACAAGGCUGGUGAGGCAGGCGGGAGAAAGCAGGGCUCAGUGUGCCCUGUACUGGAAUCUGCUCUUGCUCUGGGUUGAAGAUAGCAAGUGCAUCUCUGGGCAACUACUGCAGCUGGCUGUGGGGGACUGAUGCAUACUGUUGAGGCUGAUCUUACUCUGUCUCCUCUCUAUGAACAAGGCCUUGAAACCGCCACUCCGUCAGGUCCUUGUCUUUCCAGUUUUCCUUCUUUGUGCCAUUGGGAUUAUAGAGAAUCAGCUCAUAAAAGUCAAAGUCCCCAGAGGCUGGACUCCAGUUGAACCAAAGGCUGUCUGUCGUGUUCCGAUUGGACCCCCUGAGAUGACUCACAGAGGCUGGGACUUAAACAGAAGAAAAAUUGUUACUGAGAACAAAACAGAAACACAGGCAUUUUGGCCCACAGAUCUCUAUUAAGAGAAAAAUACAAAGAAUAAAUGAGUAAGGCUCUUGAAACCAUUGAAUUGUACAAACUUUGGUGGUUUUAAAUCUGGAUUUGUGAAUAGCUGAGCCCGUUCACUGUCCCAUUUUGGAGAACCAUGAGGCAUUCUACAAUCUAGCCCUUCUCCAGGUGGAUGCUUACCUGUCCGCCCAACCACAUUUAUCUGAUUCUUCAGGGACCCGCUGACUGAGGCAAUCAUGAUCUGGUACUGCUCCCCGGCCUCCAGUCUGUGGAACGUGUGCUCAAAGACGUGCUUGGGAAUAGUCUGAGAGUCAACCUUUUGACUGUGCCUGAAUGCCGACACCGUGUAGGAAUCAACGUCUCCCCCACCAGGAGUCCAGUUCACCGUCAGGCUAUCUGUUGCUCCAUUGGGAGAAAUGUGAAUAUUUUUGACAGCACUAGGAACUAAAACAGAAAAUAAAUUUAAAAGUCAUCACUUAGAGAAUGAACUGUUGAAAUUUUCAAACAAAGUUUUGAAUGCUUCUGAUGUUUUGGCACCCACUGAGAGAACUCACAUGAAAAAGAAAGUAACAAUUUGCCACUUUUCUCUGAUUUUUCUGUGUGAACUAAAGUUGAUGGGGGAAAGCUUAGGGGGAAGUCAAAGCCGGUUGGACAACAUCAUUGUCACUAUCAACAUGACUUUGUCCCUUCUUGCUGUCUCCCUUUUAUCCCUCCAAAUGCUCAAUCGAAAUACCUGAACUACCCGAAAGUUAAAUGCACCACUGCAUCUAUUCAGGUUCAAGAACAGUAUUUCACAUUACCUGUGAAGCCCUCAAUGAAGGCUGACUGCUGUACAUCCCCGCUAAUCGUCAAGACAAGAAUUUUGUAUUGGCGGCCUGGUGUUAGGGAAGUAAAUCGAUACUCGGUUGCGGUAUUUACAAGGUGAAAAGGAGGAAAUACUUUCAUGUCAUUGAAGAGCAGCUGGAUCUCAUAUUGGUCGACAUCCCCAUUAGCUCCUGACCAAGUCACAUGCAAGUCCUCAGUGCUCCUGUUGCGCAAUGUUAGAUCCUUAACAGGCUCUGGAACUAGGGAGAAAAAUGAGAAGACAUUUCAGGAAAGGAACUGAUCAGAGUUUACCUACAUAAUAAUUUAUGAAUCACAUUCAAGGAACUGGCAACAUCUCCCUUCCCCAAAUAAACCACUAGCACUACUUCAUGCAUAAUUAAACAAGAAAAAUUGGAAGCAACUAUUAACAUUGUGGUUUUUUCCUGACAUAAAUGUUACAUGAUCAGCAUUGGUAGAACAUAAUUAUAAAAUGAGUUAUGAUCUCAAUCAUAAGAUAAAACAAGAAGUCUAGAAUCUAAAUGCCAUGAUGCAGGAAGAUAGGGAAGAAAAAUGGGACAUUUAGCCUUCUUGCUCCCUCACUAUGUUUGCUUUUAUCUACCAAUAAAUAUUCUGUAAUUAUAGGCCAUGGCUUGGCUGAAUGAUGUUAGCACCAAGUGAGACUUACUGGGAAUGUAAUGUACUAAUGAAUAAGCAGAAAAAAUUCAAGGUUCAGAUAAAUUACUAGAGACUUUCAAGUCCAACCAACUGUCAGAUUUUGCAAUCGUUC